rnacentral:rRNA from 1 species
UACGUAGGGUGCGAGCGUUAAUCGGAAUUACUGGGCGUAAAGCGUGCGCAGGCGGCGCGUUAAGACAGGUGUGAAAGCCCCGAGCUUAACUUGGGAAUUGCGCUUGUGACUGGCGUGCUCGAGUGCGGCAGAGGGGGGUGGAAUUCCACGUGUAGCAGUGAAAUGCGUAGAGAUGUGGAGGAACACCGAUGGCGAAGGCAGCCCCCUGGGUCGACACUGACGCUCAUGCACGAAAGCGUGGGGAGCAAACAGG